rnacentral:rRNA from 1 species
UACGUAGGGUGCGAACGUUGUUCGGAAUCACUGGGCAUAAAGGGCGCGUAGGCGGGCUGUCAAGUCUGGGGUGAAAUCCCACGGCUCAACCGUGGAACUGCCUUAGAUACUGACGGCCUCGAGGGAGAUAGGGGCGAGCGGAACUGUGAGUGGAGCGGUGAAAUGCGUUGAUAUUCACAGGAACUCCGGUGGCGAAGGCGGCUCGCUGGAUCUUUCUGAUCGCUGAGGCGCGAAAGCUAGGGGAGCAAACGGG